rnacentral:misc_RNA from 1 species
AAAGAGUUGAGAAACUCCCCAGACCACUGUGAACCUUACCAGACGUUGCUUCGGCGGGCCGGCUCCAGAGCCGCGUGAGCCCCACUCCCUCUUUGAAAGAGGGAGAGCCCACUUCCUCUUUGAAAGAGGGAGGGGGGGGGGGGCCUGCCGGAGGUAUCUAAACCAAUGUCUUUUUUGCAUGGCCUCUCUGAACAACUGUAAUAUAGUUAA